GCCGGUUUAGCUCAGAUGGAAGAGCGCCUGACCUGUAAUCAGGAUGUCGUGGGUUCGAAGCCUGCAACCGGCACCA
rnacentral:tRNA from 30 species